UCCGGCUUAGCGCCGGCAGUCUCUCUAGAGUCCCCACCAUCACGUGCUGGCAACUAGAAACGGGGGUUGCGCUCGUUGCGGGACUUAACCCAACAUCUCACGACACGAGCUGACGACAGCCAUGCAGCACCUGUGCACGAGCUCCGAAGAGGGCCCCCUGUUUCCAGAGAGUUUCCCGUGCAUGACAAGCCUAGGUAAGGUUCUGCGCGUUGCGUCGAAUUAAACCACAUGCUCCACCGCUUGUGCGGGCCCCCGUCAAUUCCUUUGAGUUUCAGCCUUGCGGCCGUACUCCCCAGGCGGGGCACUUCAUGCGUUAGCGCCGGUACCCCGGGGGUCGCUCCCCAAAGCACCUAGUGCCCAUCGUUUACGGCAUGGACUAC
rnacentral:misc_RNA from 1 species